rnacentral:rRNA from 1 species
UUCUUCGGAGAGUUUGAUCCUGGCUCAGGAUGAACGCUGGCGGCGUGCCUAAUACAUGCAAGUCGAGCGAACUGAUUAGAAGCUUGCUUCUAUGACGUUAGCGGCGGACGGGUGAGUAACACGUGGGCAACCUGCCUGUAAGACUGGGAUAACUUCGG